GACGAACGCUGGCGGCGUGCCUAACACAUGCAAGUCGAACGGAAAGGCGCUGCUUUUGCGGGGUGCUCGAGUGGCGAACGGGUGUGUAACACAUGAGUAUCCUGCCCUUGACUUUGUGAUAUCUUCAGGAAACUGCGGCUAAUACCGGAUAGGAGCUCCUGCUGCAUGGUGGGCGUUGGAAAGUUUCGGCCGUUGGGGCUGGACUCGCGGGUUACCAGCUUGUUGGUGGAGUAGUUGCUUACCAAGGGUUAGACGGGUAGCCGGCAUGGGAGGGGGAACGGGCACAAGAGUACUGCGAGACGGAGCAGUCUCGAACGGGAGGCAGUGGGGGAGAGUAUGACACAGUGAGGGGAAGCGUGAGACGGCGACGCCGGGUGCGGGAUGACGGCCUACGGGUUGUGAACCGCUUUCGCCUGAGACGAAGCGGGAGUGACGGUAAUGGGUAAAGAAGCACCGGCUAACUACGUG
rnacentral:rRNA from 1 species